AUCCGCAUCCAUCUGACUGUUCUCGUUGGGGCCAGUUCUUGGAUCGUCCUAGCACGAAGGAAAGCCCCAUGGAGAAGAAAAAGAAAUAAAGAAAAAUUGGUUAUUCCAUCAAUGAAUGGAUGAUGGAAGAUCGGAGAUGAAAGAAAGACCUUUCAUCAGAUUGAAGAACCACCAACCCUUGACCUUGGGAUGAGGACGAAGGACA
rnacentral:lncRNA from 1 species